UUAUGGCUCAGUUGGCAGAGCAUGAGACUCUUAAUCUCAGGGUUGUGGGUUCGAGUCACAUGUUGGGCAAAA
rnacentral:tRNA from 1 species